rnacentral:ncRNA from 1 species
CAACCGCUGACGAGGUUCGUGAAUGUUG